rnacentral:tRNA from 1 species
GGGGGUUUAGCUCAGUUGGUAGAGCGCCUGCUUUGCAAACAGGAUGUCAGCGGUUCGAGUCCGCUAACCUCCA